CUACGGGGGGCUGCAGUGGGGAAUAUUGGACAAUGGGCGAAAGCCUGAUCCAGCCAUGCCGCGUGUGUGAAGAAGGCCUUCGGGUUGUAAAGCACUUUCAGUGGGGAAGAAAGCCUUGGGGCUAAUACCCUCGAGGAAGGACAUCACCCACAGAAGAAGCACCGGCUAACUCCGUGCCAGCAGCCGCGGUAAUACGGAGGGUGCGAGCGUUAAUCGGAAUUACUGGGCGUAAAGCGCGCGUAGGCGGUCUGAUAAGCCGGUUGUGAAAGCCCCGGGCUCAACCUGGGAACGGCAUCCGGAACUGUCAGGCUAGAGUGCAGGAGAGGAAGGUAGAAUUCCCGGUGUAGCGGUGAAAUGCGUAGAGAUCGGGAGGAAUACCAGUGGCGAAGGCGGUCUUCUGGACUGACACUGACGCUGAGGUGCGAAAGCGUGGGUAGCAAACAGGAUUAGAUACCCCGGUAGUC
rnacentral:rRNA from 1 species